rnacentral:rRNA from 1 species
CUUUGGGUGUGACUGCGUACCUUUUGUAUAAUGGGUCAGCGACUUAUAUUCUGUAGCAAGGUUAACCGAAUAGGGGAGCCGGAGGGAAACCGAGUCUUAAUUGGGCGUUAAGUUGCAGGGUAUAGACCCGAAACCCGGUGAUCUAGCCAUGGGCAGGUUGAAGGUUGGGUAACACUAACUGGAGGACCGAACCGACUAAUGUUGAAAAAUUAGCGGAUGACCUGUGGCUGGGGGUGAAAGGCCAAUCAAACCGGGAGAUAGCUGGUUCUCCCCGAAAGCUAUUUAGGUAGCGCCUCGUGAAUUCAUCUCCGGGGGUAGAGCACUGUUUCGGCUAGGGGGCCAUCCCGGCUUACCAACCCGAUGCAAACUGCGAAUACCGGAGAAUGUUAUCACGGGAGACACACGGCGGGUGCUAACGUCCGUCGUGAAGAGGGAAACAACCCAGACCGCCAGCUAAGGUCCCAAAGUCAUGGUUAAGUGGGAAACGAUGUGGGAAGGCCCAGACAGCCAGGAUGUUGGCUUAGAAGCAGCCAUCAUUUAAAGAAAGCGUAAUAGCUCACUGGUCGAGUCGGCCUGCGCGGAAGAUGUAACGGGGCUAAACCAUGCACCGAAGCUGCGGCAGCGACACUGUGUGUUGUUGGGUAGGGGAGCGUUCUGUAAGCCUGCGAAGGUGGCCUGUGAGGGUUGCUGGAGGUAUCAGAAGUGCGAAUGCUGACAUAAGUAACGAUAAAGCGGGUGAAAAGCCCGCUCGCCGGAAGACCAAGGGUUCCUGUCCAACGUUAAUCGGGGCAGGGUGAGUCGACCCCUAAGGCGAGGCCGAAAGGCGUAGUCGAUGGGAAACGGGUUAAUAUUCCCGUACUUGGUGUUACUGCGAAGGGGGGACGGAGAAGGCUAUGUUGGCCGGGCGACGGUUGUCCCGGUUUAAGCGUGUAGGUGUGUGUUCCAGGUAAAUCCGGUUCACUUUAACACUGAGGCGUGACGACGAGGCACUACGGUGCUGAAGCAACAAAUGCCCUGCUUCCAGGAAAAGCCUCUAAGCAUCAGGUAACAUCAAAUCGUACCCCAAACCGACACAGGUGGUCAGGUAGAGAAUACCAAGGCGCUUGAGAGAACUCGGGUGAAGGAACUAGGCAAAAUGGUGCCGUAACUUCGGGAGAAGGCACGCUGACACGUAGGUGAAGUGAUUUACUCAUGGAGCUGAAGUCAGUCGAAGAUACCAGCUGGCUGCAACUGUUUAUUAAAAACACAGCACUGUGCAAACACGAAAGUGGACGUAUACGGUGUGACGCCUGCCCGGUGCCGGAAGGUUAAUUGAUGGGGUCAGCGCAAGCGAAGCUCCUGAUCGAAGCCCCGGUAAACGGCGGCCGUAACUAUAACGGUCCUAAGGUAGCGAAAUUCCUUGUCGGGUAAGUUCCGACCUGCACGAAUGGCGUAAUGAUGGCCAGGCUGUCUCCACCCGAGACUCAGUGAAAUUGAACUCGCUGUGAAGAUGCAGUGUACCCGCGGCAAGACGGAAAGACCCCGUGAACCUUUACUAUAGCUUGACACUGAACAUUGAGCCUUGAUGUGUAGGAUAGGUGGGAGGCUUUGAAGUGUGGACGCCAGUCUGCAUGGAGCCGACCUUGAAAUACCACCCUUUAAUGUUUGAUGUUCUAACGUGGACCCGUUACCCGGGUUGCGGACAGUGUCUGGUGGGUAGUUUGACUGGGGCGGUCUCCUCCUAAAGAGUAACGGAGGAGCACGAAGGUUGGCUAAUCCUGGUCGGACAUCAGGAGGUUAGUGCAAUGGCAUAAGCCAGCUUGACUGCGAGCGUGACGGCGCGAGCAGGUGCGAAAGCAGGUCAUAGUGAUCCGGUGGUUCUGAAUGGAAGGGCCAUCGCUCAACGGAUAAAAGGUACUCCGGGGAUAACAGGCUGAUACCGCCCAAGAGUUCAUAUCGACGGCGGUGUUUGGCACCUCGAUGUCGGCUCAUCACAUCCUGGGGCUGAAGUAGGUCCCAAGGGUAUGGCUGUUCGCCAUUUAAAGUGGUACGCGAGCUGGGUUUAGAACGUCGUGAGACAGUUCGGUCCCUAUCUGCCGUGGGCGCUGGAGAACUGAGGGGGGCUGCUCCUAGUACGAGAGGACCGGAGUGGACGCAUCACUGGUGUUCGGGUUGUCAUGCCAAUGGCACUGCCCGGUAGCUAAAUGCGGAAGAGAUAAGUGCUGAAAGCAUCUAAGCACGAAACUUGCCCCGAG